GAUGAACGCUGGCGGCGUGCCUAAUACAUGCAAGUCGAGCGAACAGACGAGGAGCUUGCUUCUCUGACGUUAGCGGCGGACGGGUGAGUAACACGUGGAUAACCUACCUAUAAGACUGGGAUAACUUCGGGAAACCGGAGCUAAUACCGGAUAAUAUAUUGAACCGCAUGGUUCAAUAGUGAAAGACGGUUUUGCUGUCACUUAUAGAUGGAUCCGCGCCGCAUUAGCUAGUUGGUAAGGUAACGGCUUACCAAGGCAACGAUGCGUAGCCGACCUGAGAGGCUGAUCGGCCACACUGGAACUGAGACACGGUCCAGACUCCUACGGGAGGCAGCAGUAGGGAAUCUUCCGCAAUGGGCGAAAGCCUGACGGAGCAACGCCGCGUGAGUGAUGAAGGUCUUCGGAUCGUAAAACUCUGUUAUUAGGGAAGAACAAAUGUGUAAGUAACUAUGCACGUCUUGACGGUACCUAAUCAGAAAGCCACGGCUAACUACGUG
rnacentral:rRNA from 1 species